AUGUUGAAUGUGUGGAGGGUGAAAAUACAGAGUUUGCCCUUUUGUUCUGCAGCUGCCAGUGUUGCUUCGCCUCAGCUGUGUUGGCCUGGUGUUUGUGUGCAAUGCAGUGAUGUGGACAGUCUUCACAAGAGCCUUACGACUCUCCUCCUCCUCAGCUGCUGCCUCUGUGACAACAACAGCCUCCAACUUCAUCUCUUCGGCUAUCCUGGGAAAACUGCUCUUCGGGGAGACGUGGACGCCUCUGUGGUGGGUCGGCCUCGCCAUGACAGUCUGCGGGCUCAUACUGCUGCACACGGCUGCACCCCAGCUGGUACAGGUCCCAGCAGAGAAGAAGGACUGAUAGCUGCUGGAGGGGUCACAGUGCCAUGCCACCCCUCUCCAGCCUGUCUCAUGACAGCAUCCCCAGUCCCCACCGGCCUCCGAACGUGUCGGCUUACCGAGCUGCUAACCCCUGCUCACUGCUCAUCUGCUGACUUGCAAAAUCACAUCUUUCCCGGUGGUGGUGUGGUGGCAGUGACAGCCUCGGAGGGAGCUGGUCAGCUCUGAGUCAGUAUUGUGACCCCAGGGCCAGAGGCUUAUCAGCCACUCCUCCUCUUCACACCCUGUGGCUGUGGAGCUUUCCCAGUUUGGGGAAUGCUGAAAGUAAACAUGGUGGCUGUGGAAGGUGCUUGCGCAUCAGUACUUUUCCAUGAAAGGACCUAUCCCAAAGUAGAAAAGCAGUCAGAAUUAGAUGCUGAAGACAGCUGUUAUUUCUGCUCUGCUGUUCCUGACUUGCUGUCUUUUCAAAUGGACCUGUGGCCACUGCUACCUGUAAGGCUGUGGAGACUCACUAGUUCCUUCAGUUUCCUCUAUCGGUCACUUAGACCUUUUAAUAUGCCAUUUGUAUCUGACAUCUAGAAUUUUCACUUACCCAUUCCUGACACGUUACUCACUGUAAGGUUGCUUCUCUUUCCUUUAAACCCUUACCCAGAAUCAGGUUUUGAUCACCAUUCCUGCCUUGUGUAGGUCAGAGUAAUUUUGGGACAAUUCAACAGGCAACCUGCUUUCACUUUGAGUCUCUGUGUUCAACAUAUCCCCUGUCCUCACUCAAGUUUACAAUUGCUUUAAUAUUUGGUAAAAGGGAGUUUCUCAAGCCAUGUUUUUUCUAUACCUCCAGAUGAUGCUUGUUCCAGUUCUCUAUGUUUCACCUAACUUACUCCCAUUCAUGUGAUGUGAUCAGCCAAAUCACUGGCAUCCAGGUAUCUGCUAAAUUUUGCAUCAGUGAUUAUUCAGUGUUCAGGUGUCAGUUUGGUGAAUGUGUCACAAAUCAUCAUUUUUAAGGUAUCGGCUUCAUUCCCCUGCCCAUUUUUUUAUUUUUUUUUCCCUUGGAAAUUUUUCAUUUGGAAUCCUAAUUAAGAAAUACAAUGAUGCCUAUAAAUGUAUGCAUCAUGCUGGUGAUAUCACUUAUUUGCUCUGGGCUUGCCAGGUUGUCUCUGUCAUCUUGUAACGACAGGUGAGUCACUGUUCUGGCAUGUGCAGAAAACCUAAGGACACAUUUCUGUGAGCGUCUGUAACAGAACCUGUCAGGUCUAUCAUGACUGGCAGAUCUGCGCCGGGUCAAGUGUAAAAUAGAUUUGUGGAUGGAAAUGCCACUAAAGUUGGGUUUGUGCCUUUUUCUUACUUGAAUCAGAAGAGGCCAAGAGCCAUUUUCUCCAUUCCCUGCCAUUCUACCUCACCACAUCUGGCAGCCAUGUCCCAAGAGGGGUAGUCUUUGCCUCUCCCCUCAGUGUUCUCUCAAGUCUUCCCAUCAAAGAGGGGAGCUGGACAUGUGGUGGGGGAGAGGGCAGAGUGCUCUGUGUGACUUCCCUACCUGCCACUGUGGGUCUUUGCACCCGGGGAGCUCUCUGGGUGGCAGCAAUGGGAGGGUGGGAUGCAUCCAAUUGCCUGGGAAGCUGGGACCUGACACAGGGACCCAGCAUCCCUCAUAGGUCUGCAGACAUAACAGCCAGGAACCAUGUAUUUCUAAGUACAUCAGGUCUCCUUAGAUCUUCAUACAUGAUGCAAGAUUAUUGAAGCCUGAUUUAUUUGCCCUUGUAAUUAAUCCUCAGACAGCUUUUCCUCAGAAAGCAUGUCUGCUUUCAUGGAAACAGCAGUAGAAGGACCAGGCUCUGGUUAAUUUGGCUGUUGCACCAUUUCCUAAUAAACCAUUUGGAAAGCUUUUUAACCUGGACUAU
ensembl:lncRNA